AAGAGAGAGAGAGUUCAAUAAUACCAUGCCUAGUACUGAAAGAAGAAAGUAAUGCAAUAGUUGAAAGUACUGCAUAUACACUUACCAUGAGAGAGAAGAGAUUGGAUUCUUCUUCCAUACUAGGCUUAUUUACAAGAGAUUUGAAUCAAACAACAGAAAGUUAAUGUAGUUGUGGCUUUUACUAGGCUGGGUUCUUUUUGGUUGAUGAGAGGCCUUUAACAACAGAUGCGCCACUAGGGG
rnacentral:lncRNA from 1 species